UGACAAAAGUGCUAUCCUUUUCCAUUAUUUGCAAGCACCCACCAUGAACAUGCAGAACCAUGCACAUGGAGAUACUUAUUGCAUAUAACAAAAAGACUGAGCGUGUCAAGUGACUGGAGUAUUCCUUUGGAGCUAUUACUGGAGGAAGGAUCUGAUAGCUGUUUAAAACUACACAAGAAACCAGCCCAGCUCAAUUGUACAAAACACAUAAAUGGUGAAUGGUGGUCGAGCAGCAGGCCAAGUCAUUGUAGGAAGACAGGGUCAACAAACAUGCUAUCGAACACUUUGUUCCAGGUAUGUGGCAGAAGGGCUAAACUAGCUCACAUCUAGUAUGUUUAUUGCAGAAAACAUUAUAAUUCAACACCUUGCCUGCAUCAGCCCUUAGAUUCUGCAUUAAUAACUAGGUGGCUAUCUGAUUUUCCAGAGAAAAGGUUGCUUUUGAAAGAGAGCAGUGACAUCUAUGAAAGCAAUUGUUGUGCUUCUUACAAUACACACACACACACACACACACAUACAUACACAUGGAGAGAGAGAGAGAGAGAGAGAGAGAGUUAACUUGCUUAGAGUACUUGUGUCUUGAACAUGCUUUGAUCUUUUAAUUGCUUGAUCCAUGGGACAGGAGGUCAGGCUAAUGGUUUUCUGGCCAUGGCUGUACAGUAUGUCUUCAUCAGUGUGCCCUGAUUAGGAUUUGGCAUUGACCCCAUACUAUUAUUUUUCCUGGACACCCCUCCAGUGGCUCCCAUAGUAGGCUCAGACACAGUAACUGCAGCAGCAUUGUUUGCCAAGAGUCCACACCAAUUCAUUCAUUUUGAAAAUGUGUAGAGAGCUCUCCCUAGGUCAUUUACCACCCGUGGUAGUGGCAACAGCAGAACCACCCCAACCACUAAUCAUAUUGCUCUCCCUCCAAUAUUGUCUACUGGUCAUUGGUGGGUGAUUCUUCCUUACUGGAGGUGACCAGGCUAGUUUCUGUUUGCAAGUCUGGUUAGUGCUCUUUGAACCUGCCUACCCUAAGAAGGCAAUAACAAAAAAAAAUCAACUGACUUAACUUUUCGUUAUUUAUGCAGAUGUAACACCCUUUUUGACUGAGUCUUUCCAAGGCAGAUUCCAACAGCAAUGUUUAAAAUGAUCAGUAAUGGAUAUUAUCAGAUUGAAUACAGGUAAUUGUAUAAGGUAGCCCCCACAUUUGCUCUGGCAACAUUAUCACAGGACCCAACAAUAUUACACACAACCUCAAGGGCACCUUAGUUCUUCCUCAGCUAAUGUGAUCUAUGCAAUCAUUUGCUAACAGUUCUCCUCUGCAGUCUACACAGGACAAACAGAACAAUCUCUACGCAAAUGAAUGAAUAAACAUAAACCAGACGUCA
rnacentral:lncRNA from 1 species